UGGGGAAUAUUGCACAAUGGAGGAAACUCUGAUGCAGCGAUGCCGCGUGAGGGAAGAAGGUUUUCGGAUUGUAAACCUCUGUCUUAAGGGACGAUAAUGACGGUACCUUAGGAGGAAGCUCCGGCUAACUACGUGCCAGCAGCCGCGGUAAUACGUAGGGAGCGAGCGUUGUCCGGAAUUACUGGGUGUAAAGGGAGUGUAGGCGGGAUGGUAAGUUAGGUGUGAAAUGCGGAGGCUCAACCUCCGAGCUGCACUUAAAACUGCUGUUCUUGAGUGAAGUAGAGGUUGGCGGAAUUCCCAGUGUAGCGGUGAAAUGCGUAGAUAUUGGGAGGAACAUCAGUGGCGAAGGCGGCCAACUGGGCUUUUACUGACGCUGAGGCUCGAAAGCGUGGGGAGCAAA
rnacentral:rRNA from 1 species